rnacentral:rRNA from 1 species
AGAGUUUGAUCAUGGCUCAGAAUCAACGCUGGCGGCGUGCCUCAGACAUGCAAGUCGAACGAUUAAAGCUCCCUUCGGGGAGUGCAUAAAGUGGCGCACGGGUGAGUAACACGUAAGUAAUCUACCUUCGAGUGGGGAAUAACGUUCGGAAACGGACGCUAAUACCGCAUAAUGCAGCGGCAUCGCAAGAUGACAGUUGUUAAAGAUUUAUUGCUUGAAGAGGAGCUUGCGGCAGAUUAGCUAGUUGGUAAGGUAAUGGCUUACCAAGGCUACGAUCUGUAUCCGGUCUAAGAGGACGGUCGGACACACUGACACUGAAUAACGGGUCAGACUCCUACGGGAGGCAGCAGUCGGGAAUUUUGGGCAAUGGGGGAAACCCUGACCCAGCAACGCCGCGUGAAGGAUGGAGUAUUUCGGUAUGUAAACUUCGAAAGAAUAGGAAGAAUAAAUGACGGUACUAUUUAUAAGCUCCGGCUAACUACGUGCCAGCAGCCGCGGUAAUACGUAGGGAGCAAGCGUUGUUCGGAUUUACUGGGCGUAAAGGGCGCGUAGGCGGCGCGGUAAGUCACUUGUGAAAUCUCUGAGCUUAACUCAGAACGGCCAAGUGAUACUGCAGUGCUAGAGUGCAGAAGGGGCAAUCGGAAUUCUUGGUGUAGCGGUGAAAUGCGUAGAUAUCAAGAGGAACACCUGAGGUGAAGACGGGUUGCUGGGCUGACACUGACGCUGAGUGCGCGAAAGCCAGGGGAGCAAACGGGAUUAGAUACCCUAGUAGUCC